UUGAAUGCUGGCUCCAUCCAUCCUUCCUCGGCUCCUUGAGCUUUGACAAUGGGCCCAGUCCACCUCUUGGCUAACCAAGCGAUCCAUUCCCGCGUCAUGCGCUCGAGACCUAUUAUAAACAUUCGCAUUUGAUAUACAUUCUUUGCCCCUAUUACCAUUCAUUAAUCCCGAAGACAUAGAACUCCAAGAGGGAAAGUUCCUUACUCAAAGACUUUUGAGGAUCGACUAGCUCGCAGGUUCACAGGAGUGAUGCGUUCUUGGUGCCAUUGCCUGGUUCUAUUGUUGGUAAUCAACCUGCUAGCGCCCCAACAGAUAGAAGCCUUUGGAUGUAGCAAAGAAAUAUGUUCUCUUUUUCCUAUCCUAAGUCCACCUUGUUGUUUGCUGGGUCACGUGUGCUGUGCUAUGGCAAUUCAAUUUAUUCAGGGCAGCAAACCUUUGAAGGAGUGUAAAGCAUCAGCAACAGCUGCUCCUGCGAUACCUAGUGCUGAUGUGAGGGUAUAUCCCGUCCCUCCCCUACGAUGGAUCUGAUCAAGACUUCUAACAGAAUCCGUACCGGUUUUCCCAGGUAACUAAAAUCGUUGUGACUUCUGUGACAAUUCCAUUUGCUCAUUCCUCCAAGAUGACUCAUGGGAUGGAUGAAAGACCAAUUAUGAUGAUGUCGAAUGAUGACUGUUUCCAUCUGAUACGCUGCAUUAUUCCAACUCAGAAAACCUUAAUCUCAUAAAUUAAUCUCGAAAGGAACAAUUAUUAUUAUUAUUUCUCUUAUUUAUUAUUUUCUUUUAGGUUAGGGUCAGUUGCGAUAAAUGGAAACAAAAAAUCAAUUUUCGAUCCUUUACUUUCUUUUGGAUGAAUUGAGAGAUAGCAUUUCGUGCGUUGUGUCCAGAACUACACUCUAUGAGAGUAACUGGGUUCGAUAAGUUUGACUUUUAGAACUGCUUGUUAGCAAAUGAAAUUAUGUUUACAUUUAUCCCAAAGUGUUUGUAUUUACCCCAUAGACUAGGAGGUAAAUGGAUACAGCAAUCCCCCCCUCCACUAGUGAGGUUGAUGUAGGUUGAAAAUCGCUAUAUACGCUACCAGUCUAGAAGUUUAGGAAGCUCUACACUAACUAUACUCAAUCUACGGCACAUGGGUCACAUGCGACCUGCUGAAUCAUCCAAAUGCAUUCGGAUAUCAUUUAACACGUUGACUGCCACGGCAAUUUUCAGAAAUCUUACCUAAAAUAAUGAUUUGAUUUAAUCACAUUAUAUUAUUUAAAACUCUAAUUCUAGUGCAUAAUUAUCAUCAAAAAGUAUAAAAAAUGAAACCACCUACCAGAAAAAAAACAGCGUCAGACAAUGUCAUGUCGUAUAUGUCCCCAAGCGAAUGAGAAACGCGUUAUUUCUGUCCAGCCUGUAAAGAGAAGCCACUCCUUUGUGUGGAAGGUUAUUUUAGGAAGUGCCACAAACAAUAAAAUAUUACUUAAUUAAAACUUUUAUUUCUAUAAUAUGAAUUAGUUUUUAUAAUUAUAUUUUUCAUUCGUUUUUUAAUAAAUUUUCUUUUUGUGCCAACCAACAUUGAUUUUCCUGAAACCUUCUAAUGAUGUUAGCACUGAUGUAUUCCGAGUUUAAUUGUAAAUGCACAAAAAUGGCCAGUAAACAAGUACGAGAUAACUCGUGGUUGGGGUCCUAGAAAAGAGCGCAAUUUACAAGUUAACUUGUAGAUGACAGUCAACGUCUUAAAAGAAAAAAAUCAAACAGAAAAUUGAAUUACGUGCAAAACUUAUGCAAAAAACACAUAAAAGUAUAAUUUACAUUAAAAUUAUACCUUCUAAAACAACAGGAAGAAUGAAAAAAUUAGUUGUUACCACUUACUCCAUGUAUGAGUCAAUGGAAACAUUUAACUGCAUAUCAAAAAAACAGGGAAAGUAAAACUUAUAAAUACAUGCAUUUAGUAACAUUCGUAUGACAAAUAAAACUAGUUUAAAUCAGUUACUUCGCGCUUAUAGACCUGCUGGGCGAGAAAUUUAAGAUCACUAAACUGAAAACACUAUUUUUUCAAGCAAUGAUGACAUUUAUACAAUUGUUCGGCAACUCUCUCGAAAUUUCUUUUUCAUGAUGUCUAAUCUUCACCCACCAAUAUUUUAGCUUCAAAAAUCGAUACCUGUGUGGUUAUAGAGUUUAAUACCAUUUGCCCCGACUGAUCCUAGCUAUAUUUUUAUAUAAAUUUUAUUUUCCUUUAAACGAAGACAUUUCCUUCUGAUGUUCCUUUAACAUUUGCACCAUCAAAGCAAUGGUGCGUUAAAAAGAAAUCUUAAAUCAGUUUUUCAGUUAUUUUCCAAUAUUUUCAUCUUUCCUUUUGCCUAAUGCUGUUUUGCCAGAGAAAUCUUUAUAAGAGCAAGAAAUAUGUUUAUUGUUAAUUUCGUUUCAUAUCCAUUUUUUCAUUAAACAAAUUUUAACUGUAUAAUUAUAAACAUUAAACAUUUGUAAGUUUAUACUACUCUAAAUUUUUAAAAAUAUAGUGAAACAUUAAAAGCAGGACACAAAGUUAAUCAAUGAUGAAUCUAAACCCUUAUAUUUUUCAAAAGUUAAAAGUAUCAAGAAUUACUGAUCAAACAAAACACUACAAAAAGCAUUUUUUAAGUAUUAAACUACUGUGGAUGCGAUCGCACAAAUAUGUGUCCUAAGAAAAACGAAAGUUAUUUAUCAAAACUCAUUGGAUGAAAAAAAAUCAUAGUUGAAGUAUCUGCACAUUAAAGAUUUUCAGACACAGCGUUUAAUUUGUUGAUGUCAUUUUAAACCUAAUGGAUAUUAAUCUUUGCACACAAUGGUCAUUAAACAUUUAUUCCAAGUAAAAAAUUAAGCAUUAAAAAUAAAUGUCUUGCACAAAGUGACUAUUUAUAUAACACUGCCUAGCACAAAUUAAUUUAAGCAAUUUAGCAAAAGAAAUUUUUAAUAUGUAAAUUUUUUCACAUAUGUUUUUAUACCAUUUGAUAUUAUAUUAAAUUUCUAAUGGUACAAUUUUAUGAGAAAUAUUUUUACGCUGUGUAUUUUU